rnacentral:sRNA from 1 species
GCCGCGCCUAUCCCGGCCAGGAGAAAAGCGGGCACCCUACCCGACUGGCGUGGCCUUCCCAAAUAGGGG